UAGGGAAUAUUGGACAAUGGGGGCAACCCUGAUCCAGCCAUGCCGCGUGAGUGAAGAAGGCCCUCGGGUUGUAAAGCUCUUUUGUCCGGAAAGAAAAGCAUUCGGUGAAUACCCGGAUGUUCUGACGGUACCGGAAGAAUAAGCACCGGCUAACUUCGUGCCAGCAGCCGCGGUAAUACGAAGGGUGCAAGCGUUACUCGGAAUUACUGGGCGUAAAGCGUGCGUAGGUGGUUGUUUAAGUCUGAUGUGAAAGCCCUGGGCUCAACCUGGGAAUGGCAUUGGAAACUGGGCAGCUAGAGUGCGGUAGAGGGUAGUGGAAUUCCCGGUGUAGUAGUGAAAUGCGUAGAGAUCGGGAGGAACAUCUGUGGCGAAGGCGACUGCCUGGACCAGCACUGACACUGAGGCACGAAAGCGUGGGGAGCAAACA
rnacentral:rRNA from 1 species